rnacentral:rRNA from 1 species
GAUGAACGCUAGCGGCAGGCCUAACACAUGCAAGUCGAGGGGCAGCACGUCUUCGGAUGGUGGCGACCGGCGCACGGGUGCGUAACGCGUAUGCAACCUACCUCUUACAGUGGGAUAGCCCAGAGAAAUUUGGAUUAAUACCGCAUAGUAUGCGACAUUCAGCAUUGAUGACGUAUUAAACAUUUAUGGGUAAGAGAUGGGCCUAUGGCCUAUCAGCUAGUUGGUGCGGUAAAGCGCACCAAGGCUAUGACGGUAGCAGGCGUGAGAGCGCGACCAGCCACACUGGAACUGAGACACGGUCCAGACUCCUAC